CAGAUUGAUCUCAGUGAGUUCAAGGCCAGCUUGGUCUACAAAGCAAGUUCCAGGAAAGUCAGGGCUGUUAGAGAGAAACCCUGUCUUGAAAAACAAAACAAAAUGAAACAAGCAACAACAAACGAUAAAGCCUCAUGUAGUGGUACAUACUUUUAACCACACACUUUGGAGACAAAGGCAGGUAAAUCUCUUCAAGUUCAAGGCCCACCUGGUCUACACGCUAAGUUCCAAGUUAACAAUUACACAGGGAAACCCUAUCCACCAGUACCAAAAAAGAAAAAAGAAAAACAAAAACUCACAACAAAACAAAAACCCUAAUACUAAAACAUGUGCGCUUAAAAUAAAGCAGAGGGGCUUAAGGCAUGGCCCAGCACCUGAGAAUGCUUAUUGCCUUGAGAGGACCGAGAACCCAGGUUUCGGUUCCCCGCCAUCUAUCUAUACCAGGUAGCUCAGAAGCACUCUUAUCUGGUUUUAGGAGAGCUAGUUUGUUGCGGCCUCUGCAGACACUUCCAAGCAUGUAGCACACAUACACUCAUGUAGGCACAUAUACAUAUGCAUAAAUAAAAAAUUU
rnacentral:lncRNA from 1 species